AGCCUGAAUCAGUGUGUGUGUUAGUGGAAGCGUCUGGAAAGGCGCGCGAUACAGGGUGACAGCCCCGUACACAAAAAUACACAUAUUGUGAGCUCGAUGAGUAGGGCGGGACACGUGGUAUCCUGUCUGAAUAUGGGGGGACCAUCCUCCAAGGCUAAAUACUCCUGACUGACCGAUAGUGAACCAGUACCGUGAGGGAAAGGCGAAAAGAACCCCGGCGAGGGGAGUGAAAAAGAACCUGAAACCGUGUACGUACAAGCAGUGGGAGCACGCUUAGGCGUGUGACUGCGUACCUUUUGUAUAAUGGGUCAGCGACUUAUAUUCUGUAGCAAGGUUAACCGAAUAGGGGAGCCGAAGGGAAACCGAGUCUUAACUGGGCGUUAAGUUGCAGGGUAUAGACCCGAAACCCGGUGAUCUAGCCAUGGGCAGGUUGAAGGUUGGGUAACACUAACUGGAGGACCGAACCGACUAAUGUUGAAAAAUUAGCGGAUGACUUGUGGCUGGGGGUGAAAGGCCAAUCAAACCGGGAGAUAGCUGGUUCUCCCCGAAAGCUAUUUAGGUAGCGCCUCGUGAAUUCAUCUCCGGGGGUAGAGCACUGUUUCGGCA
rnacentral:rRNA from 1 species